CCUACGGGAGGCAGCAGUAGGGAAUCUUCCACAAUGGACGAAAGUCUGAUGGAGCAACGCCGCGUGAGUGAUGAAGGUUUUCGGAUCGUAAAACUCUGUUGUAAGGGAAGAACAGGCAUGAGAGGUAAUGCUCAUGCUAUGACGGUACCUUGCGAGAAAGCCACGGCUAACUACGUGCCAGCAGCCGCGGUAAU
rnacentral:rRNA from 1 species